rnacentral:rRNA from 1 species
GACGAACGCUGGCGGCGUGCUUAACACAUGCAAGUCGAACGGAAAGGCCCUGCUUUUGUGGGGUGCUCGAGUGGCGAACGGGUGAGUAACACGUGAGUAACCUGCCCUUGACUUUGGGAUAACUUCAGGAAACUGGGGCUAAUACCGGAUAGGAGCUCCUGCUGCAUGGUGGGGGUUGGAAAGUUUCGGCGGUUGGGGAUGGACUCGCGGCUUAUCAGCGUGUUGGUGGGGUAGUGGCUUACCAAGGCUUUGACGGGUAGCCGGCCUGAGAGGGUGACCGGCCACAUUGGGACUGAGAGACGGCCCAGACUCCUACGGGAGGCAGCAGUGGGGAAUAUGGUACAAUGGGCGGAAGCCUGAUGCAGCAACGCCGCGUGCGGGAUGACGGCCUUCGGGUUGUAAACCGCUUUCGCCUGUGACGAAGCGUGAGGGACGGUAAUGGGUAAAGAAGCACCGGCUAACUACGU